ensembl:lncRNA
AGGAGCAGGAUGGUGCACAGAUUUACUGAGUAUAAGAAGAGAGAGAGAAGGGAAAGAAGCGCCCCCCCCCCCCCCCCCGGAGGCAGCCUGGGCUCUGCCUUCACCUGCUCGGGCAGGCCUGCUCCAGGAUAACUUGUUUCUUGCCCUUGGCUGCAGGGAGACAGAGCUGGCUUGCUGCUGGCUGUCCCGUGGUCGGGAGCGCCGAGGCCCGGGGUGUUUAGGGGCUCCCUCUUUUCCUGCCUCACGCCGUAGCUACGUGAGGCUGCUCUCAGGCAGGGAGGAUUCCGCAUGUCCCGGCUCCGGCACUUCGUAGGCUUCUCCCAGAGAAAUCGAGGCACGGUUUCGGGGCGGAGCGUGCUGGCCGGUAUCAUUACAAAGAGCGCCUCCUAGUGAGGCAAAUGGCCGUCUGUGUCCACAAGGCUCCGUAUUUCUGCCUCAGCCUUGGCGUCGAGGGCAAAGCUGGGGAAGCCGGGGUAGAGUCGGGGCCCAUUGUAAGGGGGGAGCUUUUCCUGCUCAGAUAAUCACCCUCGAGAGGGCAGCUCAGGGUCCUGCUGAACUUUUACACGCCCUUAAGCACAACUAAAUAAAGGCCAGCCUCCCACCCCCGAGGGCACGUGCACGGGGAGCUUCUCCUUUCGGGGCUGUGGCGCCGACACCGUCUCCAGUGUCCCCCCCUCCGUGUCUCUGGUCUCGACGUAGUGGAAGACGGGAAGUUUACCAAAUCGUUUUUUGUAACCUGAGCUUUCUGGGCUUUCAAGGGGAAGCUUCACAGGAACUUUGUACCAGAGUGUCCCUAGCAGACAGCCUCUAUUUUUCUACAGUUCUAAGCGCUUGAACCGAUGUAUUUUGUGUCCAUCCGACUUCACUAUCGACACUUCCGCACUGAGCGCUCGGAAUCCUCCAAGGGGCGAGGACUGAGCGCUAGUUUCCCUGACUGUUCCUGCUACAAUCGCUACUGCCGUUACCGGGGUCGAGGGAGAAGUAGGAGACGAGGCUCGGGGGCCGGAGGGCGUCUGCCUCGGAAUGGAGGGCUGACGACCCUAACCGGGCACGCGCCGCGGGGUUUGGACCGCCUUUCCCAAGAAGCCCGCGAAAAUCCUCCAAUUGUCCCAGCCGCCGCCGCAACACGCCUCACAGCGCGAAGCGGAAUGUGUUCAUUUCUCAAUUGGCUUCCUGUAACUAAUAAAAACGUUUUCUGUUGUCCUCGGAGAACACUGUGCUUUCGUUUCUUUAAUCCUCCCUUCGCAGUCCAGUGCCGCUGCGCUGUCAGCAUCCGCGCUCCCCUCCCCUGCGGCCUCAGGCUAGUGCACCAGUCCCUCCUUAAAGGAGCGCCCGUUCUGGGGAGGUGACCGAGCUUAGCUCCUUCCGGGGAAGGUGGCCAACUGCGCCAGGCCCUCCCCAUUCUUCCGUCGCUGGGCAAAGCGCAGCCUUCUUGGCCUCCAGAAAAGGGCGUCUGCCCUGAAAGCCCGUCCUCAGCCCUCCCAAAGCCUCGGGUCAUUUUCCCACACCCACACCUCCGCAGACCUGCAAAGGGAUGCUUCCGAAGUCCUUGCUCGACUCUAAGCUGGCACACUCCUCUCCUCCAGUGGAAGGGAAUCCCUGGAGGCCGCUUCCUCUCUUUGGGGUCGCCCUUUUGGUACUCUCCGUGUUUCCUUGUACAACCUCGUCUGGGGAUCUUUGCUACCAGGUGAGCGAGGAGCCAGUGGGAGCCAGAGAAGAGGCACUACUGAGGCCUUUGGCCCUUUUGUCAGCACUUAUUCCAUCGAUGAACAAAGGAAUCAAGCAAGGGGCCUCAUCCUGGAAUUCCCCAUCACUUGACGGUCUACAGACAUUCUUCUGCUCCUCAAAUGUUAGGGUCCGGGUUUUCACCCACCACCAAGGAAGACCAACAGACGAUGCAAUUAGCAGGAGGGCCUUGUUUAUUAAACUGAUGUGCACCAGCAGCACACACCAGGGGAGCUCCGCCAUAGAGUUCCAAUCAUAGACUGGGGAUGCUGGGAUAUAUAUCCCCUCCAGCAUGCGUAGCCCCCCCAGGCCCUAUCUGGUACAUCCCAUUGUUGGAAUGUUUGCCAGCAUUUAUGGUCCCUAAGCUCUAUCUGGGACCUACCUACUGCUAGGACCUUUGACAUCUUAACUUCCAAGGUCCGGCAGUUUCCGCUCAGACCUCUAAGUUAUCUGGUACCCACUGCUGGGAUCUUUGACCUAUUAACUUCCAAGGCUCCGCAGUUCCUGCUCCCUCACAAAGUCGCCCUCCCACACCAGGACGUCAUUUGACUUGAUUUAGUCAAGCAAGCUUGACCCAGUCAAAGAGAUUCACAGCUCUUCCAGGGAUCAAAGGGCGUAAAUCAU